rnacentral:lncRNA from 1 species
CCUUCUUCCUCUCUCUCUCUCUUCUUUCUUUUUUGUCGGAGCCUAAGAGCCGAUGAUUGUGACGCUUUAAUCUUUCACAAAUGAUGAGGUUCAUUUCUAUACUUCAAUUUAAAAUUUCGUUUUUCUAUUUCAUUCAUUUAUCAAUUAUUCUAUAAAUAAAAAUCCCUUCUGAAAAUUGAAGAUUGAAAAAACUUCAAUACUACUGUUUCAACUGAAAUAUGCAUGUUGAAGCCUGAUUUUUCAUCAACCUUAAGUACUCUCUUGCACGUACGGGUACGAUCAUUGCUAGACAGUAAUACAUAUAUAUAUAUAUAAUACAAUUUAUUUUAGAUUCUUUUUUUGCUAUUACUUAUAUUUGUUUUAUUGUAUAUGUUUGGGAUUUAUGGUUGUGUCUUUCAAUAAUAUUAUUUCUAAAAGAAUAUAAUGUACUUUAUCAUUACAUUCAAUUACUUACUGAUCUCUGUUUUAGAUUUUAUAUAGAAAAUAAUUUUUUUUUAUACUUGGAAUAAAUUUCCUUGAAUACAUAUUUUUUUAGAAUAUAUAUCUUGUUUUGAGAUUCUGGCCUUAAUUUUAGGCUUAAAUUUCUUGGAAUAACCUUGUUAGUUUUUCUUUCUUUUAUUGAGAAUACUGAAAUCAGCUAAAAUAUCUAAUCCUAAAUAAUAAUAAUAAUUAUAAAACAAUGGAGAGCAAACAUAUAUUUUCAAUGCAAGCAUAGGGCAAAUGAAUCUUUGGCUUGCUGCGAAUAAAGUUGGAGUUUUAGAUUUUAAUGAAUUAAGUUAGGUCUUAUUAUAUGUGAAUUCUCUCUUUAAAUUAUUUUAGAAUGACUUAUUCUAAUUUAGGUGUAGAUACUUGAUAGCCAUAAUAGUUUACCAUUAUGUUUUUCAUCUUUUGUAGGUAAUGCAUGAGGUCACCUGCAUUCCCUCUAACGAAAUCUCAUGGAAGAAGGCACUCAAUUAAUCACUUUCAUGCGGUCAUUUUCAACCAACAUUAGUAACGAUGGUCCCAGCUUGGACGUUUCCAAGGGAUGGAGCGUCACUCGGUCGAUUUUGUUGGAGUUUCGCAAGGGCUCGGCGUCACUCGGUCGAUUUUGUUGGACUUUUGCAAGGGCUCGAAUGUCGAGCGAGAGUGUAUUGAGGUUCGCGCGAUAUAUGGACAUUUUAUUCGACCUUUCACAUGAUAUACACAGAUUGAAAAACCUUUUUUUUUUCCUUUAAAAUUUUCAACAACGAAGCAACUUUCCAAGCCUAAGUCUGAACCAUAAUGGAUUUUGGAUAAUUAUUUCUUAAAUGAAUUUAUGAAUUGCUCCCUUCUUACCCAAAGUAAAUAAAAAAAACACUAGCAUGAUUCUUUUUCUUUUAUUUUUUAAAAAAUAAAAUUUUACAUGUUAUACAGGGUAUUUCCGCGGAUACUUUGCCAACAUGGUAUCGUUGCCAUUGGACUACCUCGUUGGUCACGAUCAACAUCACCGACAUACCUCCACCAUCAAUACUAUUCACUUUGAACUUAGGCAACGCUGCCAAUACCUGAAAGGCCAAUCAUAUUAACAAGACAACCAUCAACCAUCUUUUGUACUCUCUACGUCGCAUUGUCACCCUACAAGGGUCACAUAGCCACCCCUAUUGAAGGACAAUGAGGGGACCCAUCCACCAAUGGGUGGCCACCAUGUGGCCCCUCAAACCUUCCAUAUAAAAACCUUGAACUCCCCCAAAAAGAGUAUAUAAAUUCUCUCUCUCUCUCUCUCUCUCUCUUUGACGACUAUUUGCCUUUAUUGGGUGAAUUGACCUCCUACCUCCGUCGCUAUCUCCUCCUUGUUGCUCCUUGGUAUCAACAACAUGGUUAAGGAAGAAAAUGGAUUUUCAAAAAGGGUAUGUUCGUGUGUUUGAUGGUAAUUACAAGACCAGGAAAUCUUUUGUUUUUAUUUUUGGUUACAAAGAGGGUAAGCCCUAAAACUUGUUCAACCUUGUUGCUUUUCGUAUAAACUGUAGCACUAUCCAUAUCUCCUUGCAUCACUAAUUCGAAUGUAGCUG